GAUGAACGCUAGCGGGAGGCCUAACACAUGCAAGCCGAGCGGUAGAGAUUCUUCGGAAUCUUGAGAGCGGCGUACGGGUGCGGAACACGUGUGCAACCUACCUUUAUCUGGAGGAUAGCCUUUCGAAAGGAAGAUUAAUACUCCAUAAUAUAUUGAUUGGCAUCAAUUGAUAUUGAAAGCUCCGGCGGAUAGAGAUGGGCACGCGCAAGAUUAGUUAGUUGGUGAGGUAACGGCUCACCAAGACGAUGAUCUUUAGGGGCCUGAGAGGGUGAUCCCCACACUGGUACUGAGACACGGACCAGACUCCUACGGGAGGCAGCAGUGAGGAAUAUUGGUCAAUGGGUGCAAGCCUGAACCAGCCAUCCCGCGUGAAGGACGACUGCCCUAUGGGUUGUAAACUUCUUUUGUAUAGGGAUAAACCUACCCUCGUGAGGGUAGCUGAAGGUACUAUACGAAUAAGCACCGGCUAACUCCGUGCCAGCAGCC
rnacentral:rRNA from 1 species